rnacentral:lncRNA from 1 species
AUGCUGCAAUUUUUUAAGUUGCACCGAUACACCAGUCUACACAGCUGGGUCAUUUUUACUGGCUCAGUUCAGGGAGCGCUUCUCCUCGGGGACCAACUGAGGCCGGAGGCGAAGAGCAGAACCUCGACGCUCCAAUUAGCGCUUUGCGCACCGAACGCACGGACGAGGGAUCGAGGGACCCGAGGCUCCGCUGCCAGGAAGCGUGAGUCAUGUUGGACUUGGGGGGGGGGGGCAGCGGGGAGCGAUGCUCCUCUUCGGCCCAGCGGGAACAAUGAAGGGCCUGGCUGGCUCUGUGUAUGUGUAUGUGUGUGUGUGUGUGUGUAUGGGGGGGGUGUGAGGGGGAGUGAAUGGGGUGACCUUCUGUCUGAUGUUUAUGUGAGCGAGCAUUGCAUUAUGGGAAAGAGGCCUUUCACAGCUGCGUCUGAAAAUGAUCAGACUGUUCUUUUUAUCUCCUCUCUGCCCUGCCCCCCCGACACACACACACACACACACGCCACCUUCAGACCCCCCGCCCCCCCCCCCCCAAAUCGUCCUCACUGUCUCCACUUUUUUUUAUUAUGUUAAUAAUUGGUGCCCAGUCUGGUGGCAAUAAUGUGCCCAUUCUGGGCUGUUUCCUCACAGAGGUCAGAGGUCGGGGGUGAUUAACACACAGGAUGCGACCUUUGGCCCCCCAGCACCUCCGCGCAACAUUAAUCUCGGCCAGGCGAGCAUUCGGCCUGAUAAUGGCACCUUAAUUAAUGAUGCCGUCUGCGCGCAGCCGGUCCCCUGCGCCACGCGGCCCCCGUUAACCCCUCGCUUGCCGCCGGACGCAGCGCCCCUCUCCGAACUCGCAUCCCCCACGUCACUCUUUCCCGCAUCUUCUCAUUUUUGGCUUCGCGCGCAGGUUCUGAGCUUGGCGCCACGUCUUCUGAACGUUCAAGUCACAGAUUUCCAAAGAUUUCUUACUUUAUUCACUUUUGAUUACAAUUUCUUUCUCUACAGGUGGUCCUCGACGUGCGAUGGUUCGACUUACGAUUUUUUCGACUUUACGACGGUGAGCUGGCGAAAGACGUUCGGUAGAAACCGUACUUGGAAUUUUGAAUUUAGAUCUUCUCCUGGGUAAGCGAUAUGCGGAGCGAUACUCUGGUGGUGCUGGGCAGCGGCGGAGAUCCGUACCUCCCCGUCUGUCACACAGAGGUGUGUAUUAGGCCUAUUAAAUGCGAUAUUUUCCACUCAUGGUGUGUUUCGCGGAACGUAACUCCAUCGCAACCCCCUCUCAGCACCCCUAUCUAUUUUCCAUAAUUUUCGUCUGACGUGAUCGAGCGCGCCCGGCGUUUACCCUCCGAGCUGCUAGAUGGCGGUAAAGUGAAGUGAAAUGAAAACGGAUGUGACCACCUUCACUCAACCCACCUCCAUGAUUUUUACAGCUCACAACCAGUGUUCUUCAGUGCUGGAGAUCAAGAAAAAAAUGAGCAAUUUUGCUCAAUUUAUGGAAUAAAUCACUCUACGCAACAUGUUUCUCGUCUGUC